UCCUGAGUACAGAGCCAGGAGUAACCCCUGUGCAUCGCUGGGUGUGACCCAAAAAAGAGCAAAAAAAAAAAAAAAAGAAAAGUAGGUCAUCCUUUAUCCAGACUAACACCCGGAGAUGAAACUCACAGGCCCCCUGACCCCUGCACUGGCCCCGACUCACCCCCCAGGGGCCACACGGUUGGUUUACCUUGACCUGACUGGGCUCCAGGUGCCGAUUCUCCUUCUCCUCCACCUCCUGCUUGAUGGGGCAGGACCCCACUCUGUCGUUGUGCCACUGGACGUUGAGCGCACAGCCAGCUGCCUCACUGCCCGCUGGAGGGAGGGAGCAAUGCAAGAGGCCACUGAGCUCCCGGCAGGCCCACGGGAGCUGGUGGUUAGGGACCCCCUGCUCCUACACUCUCAGGGACCGAAGCACGAGGGAACCUACUGGCACCCUCAGGCCUGCUGGAAGACCUCGCGCCAGAGAAACGUGCGGUCCCAGCAGCAUCGCAGGCUGGGCUCCGGCAGGGCUACCGAGAGCCUCCGAGGGAACCUUAGGAAAGUUGCCGGCAAGGGAAAGUCACUUCUCCCUCCUCUACUUAUUUAUUUUCUCCGAUAGUAAGUAGAGAAAGAUGGCUACUUCCUCCUUCCUCCUCCUGGGGAGGCGGAACAGAAACCGCAAAACGCCCUUCUCCGACAUAAAAAAGGUAAGAAAUGCCCAUCUAGAACUGCAGCCCUCUGGGGUGCCCAAGGAGAGGGCUCGGGGCUUCAAGAGGGGGCCAGGGGUCCAGCCAAGUGGGAACAUCAUUGCUUUGCAUCUGUGAAGCCCUAAGUUCUGUCCUCCGUGCGGAGAAUGGAAGGAAGGGAGGAGGGAAGGGAGAGAAGAGAAAAGAGGAAAAAAAAAAAAGGAAAGGCAAGAAAAGAAAAAGAAAUAGGUAAAGAAAUGGCCAGAGCUUGGGCCGGAGCUACAGCACAGCGGGAAGGCCGUUUGCCUUGCACAUGGCCAACCCGGGUUUGAUUCCCAGCAUCCCAUAGGGUCCCCCGAGCACCACCAGGAGUGAUUCCUGAGUGCAGAGCCAGGAGUAACCCGUGUGCAUCACCGGGUGACCCAAAAGCAAGAAGAAAGAAAGAAAGAAAUGUCCAGAGCUAUAGCACAGCAGCUCGGGCCCUGCAGGCAGACAGCAGCGCGGUCGGGCCGAGGGACCAGAGGGACCCCCGCCAGGGCGUCCCGCAGCUGGACACUCUGUACCCACAAAAGAGUCAAAACCAACCAACGCCAUGCAGAGCGGCGAGGGCUUACCCUGGAACCAACCCUACCUUCCCGUCUCCGACUCCCAGAAUGCAGUUACGGCUCCAGCCUCAGGUGCUCACUGG